rnacentral:lncRNA from 1 species
AAAACAAGGACAUCUUGCAGUUUCGUAAAUGUGGUCCUGAAAAUCUGAACCAAAUGAGCAUCAUGUAUGAGAAGAUCAAUGUUAUAGGAGGAACUUCUAUGAUGCCAGGUGGUGAGCAUGAAGUGCUUGAUCUUGAAGAAGAUGAAACCGAGGAGGUAGAAGUGCAGACUACACAAGCCAAGAAGGCAAAUAAGGGGCCAUGGAAGAUAGAUGGAAGCUCUAGUAAAAAGAAUCCUAUUCAAAGGGACUUCAAGCGCAUGGUUGACCACUUGAUUAGUGAAGAUGUUGCAAUGAACUCACAUAAGAAUAGUGUUGCUACUGAAAUUGAAAAGAUUAUGGAAGAAGUUCUGUCAUGUGGAGCUGAUGAAACAAGUGAUGAGUACUUCAUAGCAACCAAGUUGUUUGCGAAGUUUGAAAAUCGUUGUUUCUUUAACAAUAUGAAGACUAGCGAAGGGAAGAUGAAUUGUCUUAGGAGGAUGUAUGAAGAGCAAAAUAGGCAUUAGGAUUACACUUUAGACGUGUGAUCAUGAAUAAGUUAUUCCCUUCCUUUAUGUUAUGUCGCUUGAGACUUGUUGAACUAUAUUUCAUUUCUUUUUAUGUCACUUGAGACCUGAUGAACAAUAUUUCCCUUCAUGCUUUGUCACUUUAGAUUGCUAUAACAUGUUCAGGAUGUACAAGCCUUGUUUUGAUAGGUUGCAUCGUACACUUGUACACACAUAUGGCUUGAAAGGAACAAGAAACAUGAGUUCAGAAGAAGCAUUGGGUAUGUUUCUCUGGACGAUUGGGGGCCCUCAAUCCGUAAGUCAAGUGGAGAAUCGUUUCAAGAGAUCAACCGAAGUUAUACAUCGCAAAUUCAAUGAAGUAUUGAAAUGCUUGAAUGACAUGGCUGUAGACAUCAUUCGACCAAGUGAUCGAGAGUUCAGAGUUGUACAUGAUAGGCUUCGAGAUGCAAGAUUCGCACAUCACUUUGAUGGUUGCAUAGGUGCUAUUGAUGGGUCGCAUAUUCCUGUAAUAGUUCCAAAUGAUGAGAUCGUCAACCAUAUUGGUCGACAUGGAUACCCAACACAGAAUAUCAUGGCAGUGUGUGACUUUGACAUGAGAUUCACUUCUAUUGUCGCGGGAUGGCCAGGGUCAGCACAUGACACAAGGAUAUUCAGAGAUACUUUGGUGAAGUAUGCAGAUAGGUUUCCACAUCCACCGAUAGGUAUCCAUUUCAUUUACAUGCGCAUGACAAUGUUGUUUUAGUUAGCUUGUUCAUCCCUUGUGUAAAACUAGUACUUUAUGCAGGGAGGUACUAUCUUGUUGACUCGGAUUAUCCCAAUUGUGAUGGAUAUUUAGCUCCAUACAAAGGGCAAAAGUACCAUGUGCCAGAAUUUCGCCAAGGUCUCCCACCGAAUGGGAAAAAAAGAAACAUUUAACUUUGCACAUUGAUCUCUAUGCAAUGUUAUUGAGCGUUCAUUUGGUGUCUGGAAGAUGAAAUGGCUUAUUUUACAGAAAAUGCCAAGUUACCCUCCUGAGAAGCAAGCUCGAAUCAUCAUUGCAUGCAUGACACUUCAUAAUUGCAUUAGAGAAAGCAAUUUGAGAGACUUGGAGUUUGACAAAUGUGAUCGUGAUGAGAACUACAUGCCAGGGAAUUUACAACCCCGGCCCUACCCACGCGACAUGUGUCCCAUAUUGUGGUUGGUGAUGAUGCGACCAUGAAAGCAACUCGUGAGGCGAUUGCUGAUGGAUUGAUGGCGGAUCAAGUAUAGUUUCACAUAUUACUUGAUGAGACUGAUGAUUGGUGCAUAUUUUGGAUGAUAUGUGUACGUAUGUAAGACUGAUGGUUAGUACAUAUUUUGGAUGAUAUGUGCAUGUAUGUAAGACUAUGAUGGUUGGCCCGUACUAGGAUGAUAUAUUUCGUAUGAAAGACUACGAGGGUUGAUUCUUUUUUUGGAUGUUACGUUUCAUAUGCAUGUUUAGGAUGAUAUAUUCAUACAUCAUGUCAUUUCUCGAAAUAAAUAUUCUAUAUAUUAUGUUUUUGUGCUAGUUCUCACUUUAUCAAGUCAAAACAUAUAACUUGUGCUUUAAUCUGCAUAUAAACAUCAUAGUCAGUAGUCGAGGGUGUUACUGACAUUUCACAACACCCACAACUCCUAAAGUUGACAAACAACAGGGUAAACAAACAGUCAGAUUCCGAUUCUCAGGAAUCCAGAGCCACAACUGAUUCUCAGGAAUCCAUAGCAAAGUGAUUUUCAGGAAUCUGUAGCCCAAACAAAAGGGGCCUGAGUCAUCCUCGUGAAAGCUGUCACCCAACAAGGGCAGUUCAGAUAUCCAGCUCGGGUUAAGGAUCUUUGGUUUCUAGGCCAAAAAGCUUGAAAUGCUAACUUAAUUUAUACACUAUCUGCAAGAUUUGCCAAUAAAGGACACACUUGCAAGAUUUACAGGUACAAGGGGAGCAUCAAUGUAAGGUUGUACCUUCAGUCACUACACAAAUUUUAAAACAGUUCAGGAGCAACAAACAAAUGGCGCCUCGAGUGCAAACUUAUGCAUGGAGACUUGUUUGAAGGGCAAUGCCAACGGGUAUGCAGAUUAUCUUCGCACAUAAAGACAUACUGCUCCAGGUGUAAGAUGGGAGAAGAUGAUACACAUAUAUUUUUCCUAUGCCCUUCUGCCAAAGCGGCCUGCUGGUUCUCUGAAGUCUGGACACAUUGUUCCUUGAAGCCACAUUAGAUCUGAAUAUGUUUCUUUCUUCGGAACUUUGGCAACAUUCCUGCAAUUGUCAAAGCUAUACUAGAUUCCAAUCACUUGAUAAUAUCAUGCUUUACUAUGGUGUAUAUGGAAGUCCAGGAAUGACAACCUUUUUCGGGGAAAGGAUAAUGCACCUAUGUAGCUACUUUUGCAUAUCAUAAAAACUCUUCCUUGAAACCAUCUUCGAUGCAGAAUGAAACAACUAGGAGUAAUUAAUAGUGUUCCUAAGCAGGGAACUUCAAUCUGACCAGAUUCAACAAUAAUUACAGAUUGUAGGUCUGUCUACCCAGAUGCUGCAGGGACAAAGAAUACAAGCAAUCGGAAUGGCAUUGCAAUCCAAAGAAGCAGGGUGAAAGACCGCUAUCCUCAUUUCUUCAACUAGCAGAGCAGCUUCUUCCCCUUUGCAGGUGGAGGUCAGGGCACUUUAGCUUGCUGCUAAGGUUACCACUUACCACACAGGUUCACAGCAGGGCAACCACCUGAUUAGUGGGCAACCUCAGGCUUGCACAAGAAGCAGCUUCGAAGAAUUUGCGCCUCUGACAUGGGCGUUGGAAAUGAGGAGUAACAAUGAAAUGUAUCAGGAGACAUAUAGUAGAGUUCAAUGUCCUAUGCUUUCAAAGCUAGGCACCUUGUUGUAAACAGUGUCUGAAGGGGCGCCUCCCCUUGGCUCUUGUUCAAUAAAUUAAUAAAUUGUAAUGUCCUCCGUAUACAAAACCAGCUCCUGCAUUUACCAUGUACAUACAUUGUCAUAUGUGCAUGAUAUUGGUUAUUUUAUGAUCUAGCCUGCUGCUUACGCUGAUAUCCACUGACACCGCGAGUAGUUUUACACACCAAGAGCAUCUCCAACAGCCGCACAACACGCCACGCGCAAAAACACAUUUUACAGCGUGGAAAGAGCGGUUUUUUGCGCGUGGCAAGACGCUGGCUCCAGCGGCCGCUGUAGAAUAUUGCAUGCGCGAGCUGCUCCAACAGGCGCUGUAAAAAAUCGGCGCGCGCGAGCAACCAGAACACAUACAAACGAUAUUUUGGAACAACAUAUAGAUAAAAUUCAACGAGACAAAUAGCAUAGUUCAACCAAACACCACAAACUAGUCCGAUACAAAUAAAAUAAUAAAAUAGAUAAAAACUACGGUGCAACUAAACUAGAAACUACUCCAAGUCGUUCUCCUCCUCGCUGGUGUCGUCCGACGUCGACAGGAAUGCGUCUUCCCACCGAGGAUCGUUGUCGUCAAACAAUGAUGCCUGUCCCAGGUCGCACCACAAUAUCACCAGUGCCUCUCGCCGACGCAUGUCAGCCCGUUCCGCGCACCGCUUUGCUAUCCUCUCCGCCCAGAAGGUGUUCUCGUCGGCGAUGUCCCGCGAGUAGCGCUGGCGCCACUCCGCCAUGGCUUGCUCAUCCGACUCAGUGAUGAGGAGGCAGCGCUGCUGCCUAUGGUGUUCCCGACGGUCGCCAUCGGUUACUAGCCGCGGUGGAUGCGCGAGUUCCUGCGCCUGCGCGCACGUCCACACAUCCUCAAAGUUCAUCUGUGAGCGCGGCCUCGAGCGGCGCCACACCGUCGCGUGCUACGUCUUGAGCUUGCGUUGGUUUUCCUUGAAGAGGAAAGGGUGAUGCAUCACAAUAGCGUAAGUAUUUCCCUCAGUUUUUAAGAACCAAGGUAUCAAUCCAGUAGGAGGCUCCCCACAAGUCCCACUCACCCACACAAACAAACAAAGAACUCGCAACCAACGCGAUAAAGGGGUUGUCAAUCCCUUCACGGCCAUUUGCGAAAGUAAGAUCUGAUAGAGAUAAUAUGAUAAGAUAAGUAUUUUUUGAUAUUUUAUGAUAUAGAUUGGAAAAGUAAAGAUGCAAAUAAAAGUAGAUUGAAAGCUUAUAUGAUAAAAGAUAGACCCGGUGGCCAUAGGUUUCACUAGAGGCUUCUCUCAAGAUAGCAUAAGUAUUACGGUGGGUGAACAAAUUACUGUCAAGCAAUUGAUAGAAAAGCGAAUAAUUAUGAGAUUAUCUAGGCAUGAUCAAGUAUAUAGGCAUCACGUCCGUGACAAGUAGACCGACUCCUGCCUGCAUCUACUACUAUUACUCCAUACAUCGACUGCUAUCCAGCAUGCAUCUAAAGUAUUAAGUUUAUAAGAACAGAGUAAUGCUUUAAGAAAGAUGACAUGAUGUAGAGGGAUAAACUCAUGCAAUAUGAUAUAAACCCCAUCUUUUUAUCCUCGAUGGCAACAAUACAAUACGUGCCUUGCUGCCCCUGCUGUCACUAGGAAAGGACACCGUAAGAUUGAACCCAAAGCUAAGCACUUCUCCCAUGGCAAGAAAUAUCAAUCUAGUAGGCCAAACCAAACCGAUAAUUCAAAGAGACUUGCAAAGAUAACUCAAUCACACAUAAAAGAAUUCAGAGGAGAUUCAAAUAUUUCUCAUAGAUAAACUUGAUCAUAAACCCACAAUUCAUCGGAUCUCGACAAACACACCGCAAAAAGAGUUACAUCAAAUAGAUCUCCACACGAGAGGGGGAGAACAUGGUAUUGAGAUCCAAAAAAGAGAAGAAGCCAUCUAGCUAAUAACUAUGGACCUGAAGUGUUGGAAAUAUGCCCUAGAGGCAAUAAUAAAAGGAUUAUUAUUAUAUUUCCUUGUUCAUGAUAAUUGUCUUUUAUUCAUGCUAUAAUUGUAUUAUCUGGAAAUCGUAAUACACGUGUGAAUACAUAGACCACAACAUGUCCCUAGUGAGCCUCUAGUUGACUAGCUCGUUGAUCAACAGAUAGUCAAGGUUUCCUGACUAUGGACAUUGGAUGUCAUUGAUAACGAGAUCACAUCAUUAGGAGAAUGAUGUGAUGGACAAGACCCAAUCCUAAGCAUAGCACAAGAUCGUGUAGUUCGUUUGCUAGAGCCUUUCCAAUGUCAAGUAUCUUUUCCUUAGACCAUGAGAUCGUGUAACUCCCGGAUACCGUAGGAGUGCUUUGGGUGUACCAAACGUCACAACAUAACUGGAUGACUAUAAAGGUAUACUACGGGUAUCUCCGAAAGUGUCUGUUGAGUUGACAUGGAUCGAGACUGGGAUUUGUCACUCCGUAUGACGGAGAGGUAUCUCUGGGCCCACUCGGUAAUGCAUCAUCAUAAUGAGCUCAAAGCGACCAAGUGUCUGGUCACGGGAUCAUGCAUUAUGGUACGAGUAAAGUGACUUGUCGGUAACGAGAUUGAACAAGGUAUUGGGAUACCGACGAUCGAAUCUCGGGCAAGUAUCAUACCGAUUGACAAAGGGAAUUGUAUACGGGGUUGCUUGAAUCCUCGACAUCGUGGUUCAUCCGAUGAGAUCAUCGAGGAGCAUGUAGGAGCCAACAUGGGUAUCCAGAUCCCGCUGUUGGUUAUUGACCGGAGAGCCGUCUCGAUCAUGUCUAUGUGUCUCCCGAACCCGUAGGGUCUACACACUUAAGGUUCGGUGACGCUAGGGUUGUAGAGAUAUUAGUAUGCAGCAAACCGAAAGUUGUUCGGAGUCCCGGAUGAGAUCCCGGACGUCACGAGGAGUUCCGGAAUGGUCCGGAGGUAAAGAAUUAUAUAUGGGAAGUCGAGUUUCGGCCAUCGGGAAAGUUUUGGGGGUCACCGGUAUUGUACCGGGACCACCGGAAGGGUCCCGGGGGUCCACCGGGUGGGGCCACCUAUCCCGUAGGGCCCCAUGGGCUGAAGUGGGAGGGGAACCAGCCCCUGGUGGGCUGGUGCGCCCCCCCUUGGGCCCUCCUGCGCCUAGGGUUGGGAACCCUAGGGGAGGGGGCGCCUCCACUUGCCUUGGGGGGCAAGGCACCCCCCUUGGCCGCCGCCCCCCUUGGAGAUUCAAUCUCCUAGGGCCGGCGCCCCCCAAGGGUCCCUAUAUAAAGAGGGGGAGGGAGGGCAGCCGCACCCUUGCACUUGGCACCUCCCUUCCCCCUUGCUACACCUCUCCCUCCCGCAGACGCUUGGCGAAGCCCUGCCGGGAUCCCUGCUGCAUCCACCACCACGCCGUCGUGCUGCUGGAUCUUCAUCAACCUCUCCUUCCCCCUUGCUGGAUCAAGAAGGAGGAGACAUCACGCUGACCGUACGUGUGUUGAACGCGGAGGUGCCGUCCGUUCGGCGCUAGGAUCUCCGGUGAUUUGGAUCACGACGAGUACGACUCCCUCAAGCCCGUUCUCUUGAACGCUUUCGCUCGAUCUACAAGGGUAUGUAGAUGCACUCAUCUCUCUCGUUGCUAGAUGAACUCAUAGAUUGAUCUUGGUGAAACUGUAGGAAAUUUUUUAUUUUCUGCAACGUUCCCCAACAAUGGCAUCAUGAGCUAGGUCUAUGCGUAGUUCUCUUUGCACGAGUAGAACACAAAUCUGUUGUGGGCGUAGAUGUUGUCAACUUUCUUGCCACUACUAGUCUUAUUUUGCUUCAGCGGUAUUGUGGGAUGAAGCGGCCCGGACCGACCUUACACGUAUGCUUACGUGAGACAGGUUCCACCGACUGACAUGCACUAGUUGCAUAAGGUGGCUAGCGGGUGUCUGUCUCUCCCACUUUAGUUGGAGCGGAUUCGAUGAAAAGGGUCCUUAUGAAGGGUAAAUAGAAGUUGACAAAUCACGUUGUGGCUUUUUCGUAGGUAAGAAAACGUUCUUGCUAGAACCCUAUUGCAGCCACGUAAAAGAUGCAACAACAAUUAGAGGACGUCUAACUUGUUUUUGCAGCAAUUGCUAUUGUGAUGUGAUAUGGCCAAAAGUUGUGAUGAAUGAUGAAUGAUAUAUUGUGAUGUAUGAGAUCAUGUUCUUGUAAUAGGAAUCACGACCUGCAUGUCGAUGAGUAUGACAACCGGCAGGAGCCAUAGGAGUUGUCUUAAUUAUUGUAUGACCUGCGUGUCAAUGAUUUUACGCCAUGUAACUACUUUACUUUAUUGCUAAACCGUUAGCCAUAGUAGUAGAAGUAAUAGUUGGCGAGCAACUUCAUGGAGACAUGAUGAUGGAGAUCAUGAUGAUGGAGAUCAUGGUGUCAUGCCGGUGACGAAGAUGAUCAUGGAGCCCCAAAGAUGGAGAUCAAAGGAGCUAUAUGAUAUUGGCCAUAUCAUGUCACUACUAUUUGAUUGCAUGUGAUGUUUAUCAUGUUUUUGCAUCUUGUUUACUUAGAACGACGGUAGUAAAUAAGAUGAUCCCUCAUAAUAAUUUCAAGAAAGUGUCCCCCCUAACUGUGCGCCGUUGGGACAGUUCGUUGUUUCGAAGCACCACGUGAUGAUCGGGUGUGAUAGAUUCUAACGUUCACAUACGACGGGUGUAAGACAUAUUUACACAUGCAAAACACUUAGGUUAACUUGAUGAGCCUAGCAUGUACAAACAUGGCCUCGGAACACAAGAGACCGAAAGGUCGAACAUGAGUCGUAUGAAAGAUACGAUCAACAUGGAGAUGUUCACCGAUGAUGACUAGUUCGUCUCACGUGAUGAUCGGACACGGCCUAGUCGACUCGGAUCAUGUAACACUUAGAUGACUAGAGGGAUGUCAAAUCUGAGUGGGAGUUCAUUAAAUAAUUUGAUUAGAUGAACUUAAUUAUCAUGACCUUAGUCUAAAAUCUUUGCAAAAUGUCUUGUAGAUCAAAUGGCCAAUGCUCAUGUCAACAUGAACUUCAAUGCGUUCCUAGAGAAAACCAAGCUGAAAGAUGAUGGCAGCAACUAUACAGACUGGGUCCGGAACCUGAGGAUCAUCCUCAUAGCUGCCAAGAAAGCAUAUGUCCUAGAAGGACCUCUAGGUGAAGCACCCAUCCCAGAGAACCAAGACGUUAUGAACGCUUGGCAGUCACGUGCUGAUGAUUACUCCCUCGUUCAGUGCGGCAUGCUUUACAGCUUAGAACCGGGGCUUCAAAAGCGUUUUGAGCAACACGGAGCAUAUGAGAUGUUUGAGGAGCUGAAAAUGGUUUUCCAAGCUCAUGACUGGGUCGAGAGAUAUGAAGUUUCCAACAAGUUCUAUAGUUGUAAGAUGGAGGAAAAUAGUUCUGUCAGUGAGCACAUACUCAAAAUGUCUGGGUUGCACAACCAUCUGUCCCAGCUGGACAUUAACCUCCCGGACGAGGCGGUCAUUGACAGAAUCCUUUAGUCGCUCCCACCGAGCUACAAGAGCUUUGUGAUGAACUACAAUAUGCAGGGGAUGGUGAAAACUAUUCCUGAAGUAUUUUCAAUGCUGAAGUCAGCAGAGGUAGAAAUCAAAAAGGAACAUCAAGUGUUGAUGGUCAAUAAAACCACCAAGUUCAAGAAAGGCAAGGGUAAGAAGAACUUCAAGAACGACGACAAGGAUGUUGUCGCGCCCGGUAAGCCAGUUGCCGGGAAGAAGUCAAAGAAUGGACCCAAGCUUGAGACUGAGUGCUUUUAUUGCAAAGGGAAGGGUCACUGGAAGCGGAACUGCCCCAAAUACUUAGCGGACAAGAAGGCCGGCAACACUAAAGGUAUAUGUGAUAUACAUGUAAUUGAUGUGUACCUUACCAGUGCUCAUAGUAGCUCCUGGGUAUUUGAUACCGGUGCCGUUGCUCAUAUUUGUAACUCAAACCAGGAGCUGAGGAAUAAGCGGAGACUGGCGAAGGACGAGGUGACGAUGCACGUCGGGAAUGGUUCCAAGGUCGAUGUGAUCGCCGUCGGCACGCUACCUCUACAUUUACCCACGGGAUUAGUUUUAAACCUCAAUAAUUGUUAAUUAGUGCCAGCUUUGAGCAUGAACAUUGUAUCUGGAUCUCGUUUAAUACGAGAUGGCUACUCAUUUAAAUCCGAGAAUAAUGGUUGUUCUAUUUAUAUGAGAGAUAUGUUUUAUGGUCAUGCCCCGCUGGUCAAUGGUUUGUUCUUAAUGAAUCUCGAACGUAAUGUUACACAUAUUCAUAGUGUGAAUACCAAAAGAUGUAAGAUUGAUAACGAUAGUCCCACAUACUUGUGGCACUGCCGCCUUGGUCACAUUAGUGUCAACGCAUGAAGAAGCUCCAUGCAGAUGGACUUUUAGAGUCUCUCGAUUAUGAAUCAUUUGACACAUGCGAACCAUGCCUCAUGGGCAAAAUGACCAAGACUCCGUUCUCCGAAACAAUGGAGCGAGCUACCAACUUAUUGGAAAUCAUACAUACUGAUGUGUGCGGUCCAAUGAGCGUUAAGGCUCGCGGAGGAUAUCGUUAUGUUCUCACUCUCACUGAUGACCUAAGUAGAUAUGAGUAUGUCUACUUGAUGAAACACAAGUCUGAGACCUUUGAAAAGUUCAAGGAAUUUCAGAAUGAGGUAGAGAAUCAACGUGACCGAAAGAUAAAGUUCUUGCAAUCAGAUCGUGGAGGAGAAUAUUUAAGUCAUGAAUUUGGUACGCACUUAAGAAAAUGUGGAAUCGUUUCACAACUCAUGCCGCCUGGAACACCUCAGCGUAACGGUGUGUCCGAACGUCGUAAUCGCACUCUAUUGGAUAUGGUGCGAUCUAUGAUGUCUCUUACCGAUUUACCGCUAUCAUUUUGGGGAUACGCUCUAGAGACAGCUACAUUCACUUUGAAUAGGGCUCCGUCUAAAUCCGUUGAGACGACACCGUAUGGAUUAUGGUUUGGGAAGAAAUCUAAGCUGUCAUUUUUAAAAGUUUGGGGAUGCGAUGCUUAUGUCAAGAAACUUCAACCUGAAAAGCUCGAACCCAAGUCGGAAAAAUGCGUCUUCAUAGGAUACCCAAAGGAAACCAUUGGGUAUACCUUCUACCUUAGAUCCGAAGGCAAGAUCUUUGUUGCCAAGAACGGAUCCUUUCUGGAAAAGAGUUUCUCUAGAAAGGAGUAAGUGGGAGGAAAGUAGAACUCGAUGAAGUACUACCUCUUGAACCGGAAAGUAGUGCAGCUCAGGAAAAUGUUCCUGUGGUGCCUACACCGACUGGAGAGGAAAUUAAUGAUGAUGAUCAAGGUACUUCGGAUCAAGUUGCUACUGAACUUCGUAGGUCCACAAGGACACGUUCCACGCCAGAGUGGUAUGGCAACCCUGUCCUGGAAAUCAUGUUGUUAGACAAUGGUGAACCUUCGAACUAUGAAGAAGCGAUGGCGGGCCCAGAUUCCAACAAAUGGCUUGAAGCCAUGCAAUCCGAGAUAGAAUCCAUGUAUGAAAACAAAGUAUGGACUUUGACAGACUUGCCCGAUGAUCGGUGAGCGAUAGAAAACAAAUGGAUCUUUAAGAAGAAGACGGACGCGGAUGGUAAUGUUACCAUCUACAAAGCUCGACUUGUCGCUAAGGGUUAUCGGCAAGUUCAAGGGGUUGACUACGAUGAGACUUUCUCUCCCGUAGCGAAGCUGAAGUCCGUCCGAAUCAUGUUAGCAAUUGCCGCAUACUAUGAUUAUGAGAUAUGGCAGAUGGACGUCAAAACGGCAUUCCUUAACGGCUAUCUUAAGGAAGAACUAUAUAUGAUGCAGCCGGAAGGUUUUGUCGAUCCUAAGAAUGCUAACAAGGUGUGCAAGCUCCAGCGAUCCAUUUAUGGGCUAGUGCAAGCAUCUCAGAGUUGGAACAUUCGCUUUGAUGAGAUGAUCAAAGCGUUUGGGUUUAUGCAGACUUAUGGAGAAGCCUGCGUUUACAAGAAAGUGAGUGGGAGCUCUGUAGUAUUUCUCAUAUUAUAUGUAGAUGACAUACUUUUGAUGGGAAAUGAUAUAGAACUUUUGGACAGCAUUAAGGCCUACUUGAAUAAGUGUUUUUCAAUGAAGGACCUUGGAGAAGCUGCUUACAUAUUAGGCAUCAAGAUCUAUAGGGAUAGAUCAAGACGCCUCAUAGGUCUUUCACAAAGCACAUACCUUGAUAAGAUAUUGAAGAAGUUCAAUAUGGAUCAGUCCAAGAAAGGGUUCUUGCCUGUAUUGCAAGGUGUGAGAUUGAGCUCGGCUCAAUGCCCGACCACGGCAGAAUAUAUAGAAGAGAUGAGUGUCAUCCCCUAUGCCUCAGCCAUAGGAUCUAUUAUGUAUGCCAUGAUGUGUACCAGACCUGAUGUAAGCCUUGCCGUAAGUUUGGUAGGCAAGUACCAAAGUAAUCCCGGCAAGGAACACUGGACAACGGUCAAGAAUAUCCUGAAGUACCUGAAAAGGACAAAGGACAUGUUUCUCGUUUAUGGAGGUGACGAAGAGCUCGUCGUAAAGGGUUACGUCGAUGCUACCUUCGACAUAGAUCUGGAUGACUCUAAGUCACAAACUAGAUACGUGUAUAUGUUGAAUCGUGGAGCAGUAAGCUGGUGCAGUUGCAAGCAGAGCGUCGUGGCGGGAUCUACAUGUGAAGCGGAGUACAUGGCAGCCUCGGAGGCAGCGCAUGAAGCAAUAUGGAUGAAGGAGUUCAUCACCGACCUAGGAGUCAUACCCAAUGCGUCGGGGCCGAUCACUCUCUUCUGUGACAACACUGGAGCUAUUGCCUUUGCCAAGGAGCCCAUGUUUCACAAGAAGACCAGGCACAUCAAGCGUCGUUUCAACUCCAUCCGUGAAAAUGUUCAAGAUGGAGACAUAGACAUUUGCAAAGUACAUACGGAUCUGAAUGUCGCAGAUCCGUUGACUAAACCUCUUCCGCGAGCAAAACAUGAUCAACACCAGAACUCUAUGGGUGUUCGAUUCAUCACAAUGUAACUAGAUUAUUGACUCUAGUGCAAGUGGGAUACUGUUGGAAAUAUGCCCUAGAGGCAAUAAUAAAAGGAUUAUUAUUAUAUUUCCUUGUUCAUGAUAAUUGUCUUUUAUUCAUGUUAUAAUUGUAUUAUCUGGAAAUCGUAAUACACGUGUGAAUACAUAGACCACAACAUGUCCCUAGUGAGCCUCUAGUUGACUAGCUCGUUGAUCAAUAGAUAGUCAAGGUUUCCUGACUAUGGACAUUGGAUGUCAUUGAUAACGAGAUCACAUCAUUAGGAGAAUGAUGUGAUGGACAAGACCCAAUCCUAAGCAUAGCACAAGAUCGUGUAGUUCGUUUGCUAGAGCUUUUCCAAUGUCAAGUAUCUUUUCCUUAGACCAUGAGAUCGUGUAACUCCCGGAUACCGUAGGAGUGCUUUGGGUGUACCAAACGUCACAACGUAACUGGGUGACUAUAAAGGUAUACUACGGGUAUCUCCAAAAGUGUCUGUUGAGUUGACAUGGAUCGAGACUGGGAUUUGUCACUCCGUAUGACGGAGAGGUAUCUCUGGGCCCACUCGGUAAUGCAUCAUCAUAAUGAGCUCAAAGUGACCAAGUGUCUGGUCACGGGAUCAUGCAUUACGGUACGAGUAAAGUGACUUGCCGGUAACGAGAUUGAACGAGGUAUUGGGAUACCGACGACCGAAUCUCGGGCAAGUAACAUACCGAUUGACAAAGGGAAUUGUAUAUGGGGUUGCUUGAAUCCUCGACAUCGUGGUUCAUCCGAUGAGAUCAUCGAGGAGCAUGUAGGAGCCAACAUGGGUAUCCAGAUCCCGCUGUUGGUUAUUGACCGGAGAGCCGUCUCGGUCAUGUCUACGUGUCUCCCUAACCCGUAGGGUCUACACACUUAAGGUUCGGUGACGCUAGGGUUGUAGAGAUAUUAGUAUGCAGCAAACCGAAAGUUGUUCGGAGUCCCAGAUGAGAUCCCAGACGUCACGAGGAGUUCCGGAAUGGUCCGGAGGUAAAGAAUUAUAUAUGGGAAGUCGAGUUUUGGCCCUCGGGAAAGUUUCGGGGGUCAUCGGUAUUGUACCGGGACCACCAGAAGGGUCCCGGGGGUCCACCGGGUGGGGCCACCUAUCCCGGAGGGCCCCAUGGGCUGAAGUGGGAGGGGAACCAGCCCCUGGUGGGCUGGUGCUCCCCCCUUUCCCUCCCUACGCCUAGGGUUGGGAACCCUAGGGGAGGGGGCGCCUCCACUUGCCUUGGGGGUAAGGCACCCCCCUUGGCCGCCGCCCCCCCUAGGAGAUUCAUUCUCCUAGGGCCGACGCCCCCCAAGGGUCCCUAUAUAAAGAGGGGGGAGGGAGGGAAGCCGCACCCUUGCACUUGGCGCCUCCCUUCCCCCUUGCUACAUCUCUCCCUCCCGCAGACGCUUGGCGAAGCCCUGCCGGGAUCCCUGCUGCAUCCACCACCACGCUGUCGUCCUGCUAGAUCUUCAUCAACCUCUCAUUCCCCUUGCUGGAUCAAGAAGGAGGAGACGUCACUCUGACCGUACGUGUGUUGAACACGGAGGUGCCGUCCGUUCGGCGCUAGGAUCUCUAGUGAUUUGGAUCACGACGAGUACGACUCCCUCAACCCCGUUCUCCUGAACGCUUUCGCUCGAUCUACAAGGGUAUGUAGAUGCACUCCUCUCUCUCGUUGCUAGAUGAACUCAUAGAUUGAUCUUGGUGAAACCGUAGGAAAUUUUUUAUUUUCUGUAAUGUUCCCCAACACGAAGGUCUGUGGUAAACUACUCACAACUCAUCGGAGAGGCCUUGGGGUUGAAGUAGAGGCCCUCCGUGGUGGAUUCCCCCUCCAACAGAACGCCGACGAUGGCUCCAAGAUGGGAUCUCGCGGAUACAGAAGGUUACAGUGGCGGAAAUAGUUUUUCGGUUGCUCCCCGAUGGUUUUAGGGUAUAUUGGUAUACAUAGGAGGAAGAAGUACGUCGGUGGACGCCCGAGGGGCCCACGAGAUAGGGGCGCGCCCUGAGGGGGGGGGGGGCUCCACCCUCGUGGCCGCCUCGAGAGCUUCUUGACCUGCACUCCAAGUCCUCUGGAUCACAUUUGUUCCAAAAAUCACGCUCCCGAAGGUUUCAUUCCAUUUGGACUCCGUUUGAUAUUCCUUUUCUUUGAAACACUGAAAUAGGCAAAAAAGCAGCAAUACGGGCUGGGCCUCCGGUUAGUAGGUUAGUCCCAAAAAUGAUAUAAAAGUGUAAAGUAAAGCCCAUAAACAUCCAAAACAGGUAAUAUAAUAGCAUGGAACAAUAAAAAAUUAUAGAUAUGUUGGAGACCUAUCAAGCAUCCCCAAGCUUAAUUCCUGCUCGUCCUCGAGUAGGUAAAUGAUAAAAACAGAAUUUUUGAUGUGGAAUGCUACCUAGCAUAAUUCUCACUAUAAUUUUCUUUAUUGUGGCAUGAAUGUUCAGAUCCAAAUGAUUCAAAAUAAAAGCUUAUAAAACAUAAAAAUAGUAAUACUCAAAGCACACUAACAAAUAAUCAUGUCUUAUCAAAAUAGGAUAGCCAAAUAAAGCUUAUCCCUACAAAAUCAUAUAGUUAGGCCAUGCUUCAUUUUCAUUACACAAAAUACUCCCAUCAUGCACAACCCCGAUGACGAGCCAAGCAAUUGGUUCAUACUUUUUAAUGCGCUUAAGCUUUUUUCAACUCUUACGCAAUACAUGAGCGCAAGCCAUGGACAUAGCACUAUGGUGGUAUAUGGUGGUGGUUGUGAGGACAAAAAGGGAGAAGAUAGUCUCACAUCAACUAGGCGUAUUAACGGGCUAUGGAGAUGCCCAUCAAUAGAUAUCAAUGUGAGUGAGUAGGGAUUGCCAUGCAACAGAUGCACUAGAGCUAUAAAUGUAUGAAAGCUCAACAAAAGAAACUAAGUGGGCGUGCAUCCAACUUUCUUGCUCACGAAGACCUAGGGCAUUUUGAGGAAGCCCAUCAUUGGAAUAUACAAGCCAAGUUCUAUAAUGAAAAAUUCCCACUAGUAUAUAAAAGUGACAACACAAGAGACUCUCUAUCUUGGAGAUCAUGGUGCUAUUUUGAAGCACAAGUGUGGAAAAGGAGAUAGUAGCAUUGUCCCUUCUCUAUUUUUCUCUCAUUUGUUUUUCUUUUUUUUCUUUCUUUCUCCUUUUUUUUCUUUUCUUUUUUUUUUCUUUUUGGUGGGCUUCUUUGGCCUCUUUUUUUCAUGGGCUUCUUUGGCCUCUUUUAUUUUUAUAAAGUCCGAAGUCUCAUCCCGACUUGUGGAGGAAUCAUAGUCUUCAUCAUCCUUUCCUCACUUGGGACAAUGCUCUAAUAAUGAAGAUCAUCACACUUUUAUUAAUUUACAACUCAAGAAUUACAACUCAACACUUAGAACAAAAUACGACUUCUAUAUGAAUGCCUCUGGCGGUGUACUAGGAUAUGCAAUGAAUCAAGAGUGACAUGUAUGAAAAUUAUGCAGGUGGCUUUGCCACAAAUACGAUGUCAACUACAUGAUCAUGCAAUGAGCAAUAUGACAAUGAUGGAACGUGUCAUAGUAACGGUACGGUGGAAAGUUGCAUGGCAAUAUAUCUCGGAAUGGCUAUGGAAAUGCCAUAAUAGGUAGGUAUGGUGGCUAUUUUGAGGAAGGUAAAUAAUGGGUGCAUGAUAUCGGCGAAAGUUGAGCGAUAUAAUUGAAAGUGCGUUAUAUCGACUAGAGGGGGGGGGGGGUGAAUAGGCGAUUUUUAUGAAUUCUUCACUGAGGAAUUUCCCUGUGAGGAAAUUCCUUAGCGAAGAACUACUAGCAGCAGAAUAAGUACUCAGAAGUAAGCAUAACAGGAUACAGACAUAGUCAUCAUGAUGAAAUGAAGACAAGCACAGAGUACAGGAAGCGUAAACACAAGAUAACACAAGAUGAAGACAAACAGACUGAAGAAAUUGAACUGAGGAAAUUGAGUAAGUCUUCAAACACAUAUAUGAACAAUCACUCAACACAGUAAUGAGGAAAUGAAAGAGUUGAGGAAAUAGAACCAGUAAGGUUGGUGAAGACAAUGAUUUGGUAGACCAGUUCCAACUGCUGUCUCAGUUGUACGUCUGGUUGGAGCGGCUGAGUAUUUAAACUCGAGGACACCCAGUCCCGGACACCCAGUCGCUGAACACGCAGCUCAGGACACCAAGUCCUCACCGUAUUCUCCUUGAACUAAGGUCACACAGACCUCGUCCAAUCACUCGUGGUAAGUCUUCAGGCGACUUCGAAACCUCCACAGACUCGGUCACUCGGCGAUCCACAAUUCUUCUUGGAUGCUCUAGACCAUGACGCCUAGCCGUCUGGAAGAAGCACAUUCUUCAAAGGUAACACGCGUCGGAUUCACGCAGGAUCAAUCUCUUCAGUGAUGCUCAAUCACUUUGGGGUUUGUAGGUGUUUGGGUUUGGGUUUUUCCACACUCGAUGAUUUUCGCUCAAAGUCCUCGGAGGAUGGGUUGCUCUCAAUUGACAAGUGUCAGUUUCUCUUGGAGCAGCCAACCAGCUAGUGGUUGUAGGGGGCGGCUAUUUAUAUCCUAGGGAGAAGCCCGACAUGAUAAGACAUAAAUGCCCUUGUCUGAUAUGACUGUUAGGUGGAUAAGAUAUUUUGGGACAGCUGGCGCGCAUCACAGCAACGGUCGGAAAUUUGACUCUCAAAUUCCUCAGGGCUAUCAUGUUCCUCACUGUGUAGGCAAUCCGCACUGGCGAAUUCCUAACUCCUCAGUCAGAACAAAUUCCUCAGCGACCAGAAGAACUUCGUCUCUAUCACUGAAGAAAUUGUCUGAACUGUAUGAGAUUUCCAAAGGCUUCACUCGAAGGGUUUGGUAGGUGUAGGAUUUUGAGUUGAGCAUCACAUGGAAAUUUUUCCUUAAUAUUUCCUCGACCCCCUUUAACAGUAUGGUGUUUCCUAUGACUCAAGAAAGAGAAAAAUAAAACUAUGAAAACGAAAGUCUCCAAGCUUCAUAUUCCUCGCAUGAAUAUCAAGUCUUCACGGAUACACCAAUUUCUUCACUUUUCAAAGUCUUCAUGAAAGUCUUCAGGAAUACCAAAAUCUUCAGUCGAAGAUAUUCAUUUUUAGGGGUCGACUUUCUCUGUAAAUAUCAAACUCCUCAUAGACUUAUAGACCUGUGUACACUCACAAACACAUUAGUCCCUUAACCUAUAAGUCUUCAAUACACCAAAAUCACUAAGGGGCACUAGAUGCACUUACAAUAAUAGAGGCUAGCAAAGUGGAAAGGUGAGUGUGCGUAUAUCCAUGGACUCACAUUAGUCAUAAAGAACUCAUAUACUUAUUGCAAAAAUCUACUUAGCCCUCGAAGCAAAGUACUACUACGCAUGCCCCUAGAGGGAUAGAUUGGUAGGAAAAGACCAUCGCUCGUCCCCGACUGCCACUCAUAAGGAAGACAAUCAAAAGAGUACUUCAUGCAACAAAUUUGUCACACAACUUUUACCAUACGUGCAUGCUACGGGACUUGCUAACUUCAACACAAGUAUUUCUCAAUUUCAUAAUUACCCACUAGCAUGACUCUAACAUUACUACCUUUAUAUCUCAAAACAAUUAUCAAGCAUCAAAUUGAUCCUAGUGUUUAAUGCACUUUCUAUGAUAUUUUUAUUUUACCCAACUUGGAUGCCUACCAUUCUAGGACCAAUUUUAUAACCAUAGAAAAUACCAUGCUGUUCUAAAAGACUCUCAAAAUAAUAUAAGUGAAGCAUGAGAGAUCAACAAUUUCUUCAAAAUUAGGCCACCGUCGUGCUUCAAGAAUAACUCAGAUUUCUCCCCCUUUGUGAUCGACUGACCAAAAGGAUCGAAACUGAGGACUAACGCCCAUGAAGAAUAUCAAGUUGAUGGAGGAGCGCCAGCGUCGGGGUCGAUAGUCGUAGUAGGGCCUGCCGCAGUGUCGUCCAAAUCUUCAUUUUCAUCAGUGUCGCGCGAUGAAGAAUAGGAGCUGGCCACUAAGGAAGGAACCUUGACCUUAUUGAAUUUCUUCGGUGGAGGUGCAGACCAGUCAAAUUCUUCCUUGAGACCCAUAUUUUUCAGAUCUGCAGCGCUGUAGACAUGUGAUAGAGCAGCCCAGGUACGGUUGAAGGUUUCAUGAAGGUAGUAUUGGUUUUUCUUCACUGCAUUGUGUGUUGAUGUCAUGUUGUGAGGAAUUGAACCAAACUGAUGCUUGACCCAUUUGUGAUUGCGAUCAACCUUCUGAUGAAGACUGAGAAGUAACUCACGAUUAGUCAUCACCCUGGGUGCUGUGGCUUGAGGAUUUUGCUUGGCGGCAGAGUCAUGCGUGGCAGAGUCAUCAUUGGUGGAGUAGGAUGCAGCCUUGCGAAAUUGACCAUCCAAUGGACUAAUGCCUUCAUCUAUCACAACAGUUGCCUUGCCUUUGUCAUCAGCUGAGGAAUAUGUCCGUUUGAGGACUUCAAUCGGAGGCAAGUAGCUACCAUGGUUCAAAGUGUCAGCUUUGUAAUUUAGUGAAGCCCUUGUCCUGAUGAAUCUCAUAAUCCAUGGUGCAUAAGGCUUCAGCUCAAAUGGUGACAUAGCAAUAUUCGCCCGAGUCCUCAUGAAGAAAUCAUUGAAGUUCACGGGAACGCCAUGAAUGAUAUUGAAAAUCAUGUUCUUCAUGAUGCCAACGACCUCUUCAUCAUUUGAGUUGUGGCCUUUGAUAGGACUCAUUGUCUUUGUCAGAAUGCGAUAGACAGUCCGAGGCACAUAUAGUAAUUCCUUGACGAGGAAUUUGGUUCGAGGAGCCUGCCCUGGCUUCAAAGGCUUCAUCAGCACUUGCAUGAAAUGAUUGGAAAGCUCAGGUUCAUUCUAGACGCAACGAGCACCGUCAAGGGGAGGACUGAGUGGGAGGGCACGAAGCAAUUCAGUUGCUGGUGCCUUGUAGUGAGUAUUUUCAGACAUCCAGUCCAGCACCCAUGAAUUCACAUCUUCAGAGUUUCCUGUGAUAUGCAGCGUUGCAUAGAAUUGAAGAAUGAGUUCUUCAUUCCAGCCACAGAUGUCAGUGCAGAAAUUUAGUAAUCCAGCAUCGUGAAGAACACUGAGGACUGGUUCAAAGCACGGCAGAGACUCCAUGUCCACAUGAGGAAUAUGUUCAUGAUCGAAGACUUUGUCUUUGUCGAACAGUACUGAGGAAUAGAAAUUGGCUUGACUAGCAGUCCAGAAAUGCCUCUUCCUUAUGCGAGCAGAGUCAUAGGGGUUGUAGUCAGUGAAGAACACAUGCUCGCUGAAGAAAUCUUCAGCCUUGAACUUUUGCUUCUUUGAGAAUGGAUCCUUUGGCUUGGGCAGAGGAGUGUCAGUGAGUUGCAUCACAACCUCAGGAAUCGCAAUCUCAGGUUCUUUAGGCUGAGGAAUUUCUGGUUCCUCUUCAGUUGCAGUCUGUGUGUUCAAAGGUUCAACAACAACAGAGUCUUUAGCACUAGCGGCUAGAAUGUCUUCAUGCACAGACGAGGUGGGAUGAGUUUCUUCAGAGCUCAUUUGAACUAUUGGUGCAGGGGACUGAGGUAUUUGUUGUAGUGGCGUGAAGAGUGGAGAAUUGGGGUGCUGACUUUCCCAAAAGUCAUCAUUCAUCACGGGCGUUGUGCAGCCAAUGUCCAUGUCUUCAUCUUCAUUUUCUUCAACGCCAGCCACUUCAGCUGUGAACUGAGGCAUUGGCGAGGAAGUAACAUUCGUUGAAGGGAUCGUAUCCACUUCAAUUUCUUCAUCAACCUGCUCUAACGAAGCAGCAAAUUGAGGUUCUUCAUCAGAUCCGCUUGGGAUCUCAUAUUCCUCACCAAAAGGAACAAGGUCCUUUGAUGGCAUGGUGGAAAUCGGAACAACAUCAAUGGGAUUUUCAAUAGAGCUUGUCAGAGGCUUCAUCUUCUUUGGAGCUGAAGAUUCUGAAGCACUGGAUGCUUUCCGUUUCUUCAAUGCAGCUCGCUCUGCAGCCUUGGUCUUCCUCACAUCUGAUGCAGAUGGAAGAAUAGGAGUUGGUGUAGGCGCUGGAGGAGCUGAGGGAUCUGGUUGAUUUUCUUCAGGCGCAACUGAUGCAGUUGCCCUGACCUCUUCAGUUUCUUCAGGCGCACCACUAGUGGAUGCCCUAGCAAUUUCUUCAGCGGCUGGAAUGGAGUCAUCAGCCCUGGAACUAGCAUUUUCUUCAGCAGCCUGAAUGUCAUUAGCGUUGCUGGCAUGGUCUUCAGUUUGCUGAGCAGAAGCUUCAGCUUGAGGAAUUUCUUGUUGUGAUGGGGCUGUAACAUUUGUGAAUUUCUCAGUCAGUUUCACAAACCUGACUUUGGCUCCUUGCCAAUCAGCAUAAUAAGCAUUGAAAUCAUCAAUGAGGGCUUUGAUUUCAGCUUUGAUCUUUAGGAGUUCAUCAGUUGUCAUAUGAACAACGUGUUUCUUCAGGAACUUCUCCUUUCUGAACUGAGCCUUCUUGAUCUGCCUGGCCUUCUCAAAUUUUCAUUUCUCUUCAGUGAUGAAAUGGGUCAGCAUGUGACUUUGACCAGGAGACAAAUUGAAAUCAGGCAUAGGAGUAUUUGGAUCCUUGUGCCAGAGAUCAAUGUAAUCAAGGAUCGCCCUUGGAUCCAUUCGGUAGAUUGGGAUGAGCUUUUCCCUGGGGCCUCUAUCAAAGCCCUACCCAGAGUGGGGAGUGAUCACACUCCUCUGGUGUUGAAUACUGCCACUGGGCUCCCUGAAUCUUCUUCUAAAUUCUUUAGAUUUGAGAAAUGGUGGCUAGAAAUUCCUGGUUUUGAUGAUGUUAUUCAUAAAGCCUGGAACACUGAAUGCAAUGCCACCAAAGCCAUAGAUGUUUGGCAAUUUAAAAUUAGGGUUACUAGGAAAGCUGCUAAAGGUUGGUGUGCUAACUAUGAAGCAAACCAGAACAGGAAUAAGCAGUCUCUAAUAGCUGAAUACAAUUGCUUAGAUAUUUUAGCUGAAUCUCAACCAUUAUCUCCUAACUCUAAGAAUAAUAUGAAAAAUAUUGCAGGUGAGUUGAAUGAGAUUUGGAGAAGGGAGGAGAUCAAAGCUAGAUAGAGAUCCAGGGAGAAAGAUAUUUUGGAGGGUGAACAUAACACUGGGUAUUUCAAAGCAGUGGCAAACCAGAAGAGGAGGAAGAAGCAGAUUGCUAUGCUAGAAACCCCUUCGGGCCCUGUGGAGGAUACCAAAGGUAUUAUCCAAAUAGCUGUAGAGUAUUAUAAAAAGUUAUUUGGUUAUGUUCCCACUAUUGACAUUGAUCUCAAAGAUGACUUUUGGGAUCAAGAUAGUAUGCUUUCUCCUGAGCACUUUAAUUUACUUGAAAAACCCUUCUCUGAGGAGGAAAUCAAGACUGCUGUCUUGGGCUCUUAUGCUGAGGGAGCACCUGGCCCAGAUGAUUUCCCUUUCAUGUUUUACCAAAAAUACUGGGAUUUAAUCAAAAAUUAUUUGUUUGCUCUCUUCAGAGAUUGGGAGGCUGGAGAACUUGAUCUGUACAUACUCAAUUUUCCCUCCUUACAUUAGUGCCUAAAGAACCUAAUGCUGUUAAGCUUGAUAGGUUCAGGCCUCUAGCCAUGAUUAAUUGUAGUUUUAAAAUAUUUGCUAAAUGUGCCACCAAUAGGUUUGGCCUUGUUUGUAACUUUCUUAUCUCACCUAACCAAACUGCUUUCCUAAAAGGUAGAUUUAUCCUUGAAAGCAUAGUGGCUGCUCAUGAGGUAGUUCAUGCAGUAGCCACUAACAAGAUGUCUGGUUUUUGCUUUAAAUUAGACUAUGAAAAAGCCUAUGACAUGAUCAAUAGAGAAUUCCUCCUAAAAAUGCUGAGGAAGAGAGGCUUUGGUCCUAAAUGGAUGCAUAAGAUUGAAUCCUUACUUUGCAAUGGACCUGUUGGUGUCAGAAUUAAUGACACCAACAGUGAAUAUUUCAUAGAUGGUAAAGAAGCUAGACAGGGGACCCUAUCUCCCCCUAUUGUUUAACCUAGUUGCUGAUGUUUUCACCAGAAUUUUGAUCAAAGCUGCUAAAGAAAACUUAAUUGCUGGUGUCCCCCCCCCCCUCAAAUCCUGCCGGCGUCAUUAGCAUGCAAUACGCUGAUGAUAAUCUGCUCUUCCUAGAUAAGAACCUGGACCAUGCCAAAAAUCUUAAAUGGCUUUUGUCUUGCUUUGAGCAAAUUUCUGGCAUGAGGAGUAAUUUUCAUAAAUGUGACCUUGUUCCUAUUAAUAUUCAUAGAGAUGAGGCUUUAGUGUUUGCUCAAAUAUUAAGGUGUAAAAUUAAUUCAUUCCCUAUUAAGUACUUGGGUGCCCCUCUACACUUUAGCAAGAUCAGAAGAGAGGACCUUCAACCUACUGUUGAUAAGAUCAUCAAGAAAGCUGCUGGGUGGAGGGGGAGACUGCUUUCCUUUGGCAAGAGACUCAUUUUAGUCCAAGCCUGCUUAGCUAGUAUCCCAACCUAUCUGAUGGGUUUCAUAAAAUUCCCUAAGUGGGCUAUUAAACUCAUUAACUCCCAAUUAGCUCAUUGCUUUUGGGAUGAUUAUGAGGCCAUCACAAGUAUCAUUUUACUGCCUGGAACUCCUUGAAUACGAGGAAAGAGUUUGGGAGUUUUGGUAUUACUGACAUUGGGGACAUGAAUCUGGCCCUAUUAGCUUCUUGGAUUAGUAGGUACUACAACUCUGAGGGCAAAAUUUGGAAGAAUAUUAUUGAUUCCAAAUAUAACCCCCAGAAUAGCAACAUUUUUGCUUGUUCUACUACUGGAGCCUCCCCUUUUCUGGAAAGGGGUGCUUUAGGCAGCACAAGCUGCCAAAAUUGGCUUUUCUUGGAAGAUUGGUAAUGUCAAGAGGGCUAGAUUCUGGGAGGAUCAUUGGUUUGGCAAUGCUACUUUGGCUACCCAGUAUUGGGAUGUUUAUAACCUAGCUAAUGAGCAUAAUGCCACCAUAGAUAAAAUCUGGGAUGGCUAUACCUUGAAGCUCACUUUUAGGAGAUGUUUCACCCAGGAACAGAUGGCCCUUUGGUUUGAGCUUAUAGAAAUUGCUAGUUCCAUACAAUUGAUAGAUGAGGAUGACUCCCCUGUUUGGAAUCCGAAUUCUAAAGGGGUCUAUACAGUUAAAUCCAUUUAUAAAUUUAUCAAUUUCAGAGGAGUACUACCUACUAGUUCUCCUGCUGUGUGGAACCUUAAAAUUCCCCCCAGGAUUCAAUUUUUUCUUAGGAUUUUGGUCAAUAAUAAAUUGCUGACUAGAGACAAUUUGAGCAAAAGACAGGAGGUAGGUAAUCCUACUUGUGUGUUUUGUUCUGAACAAGAAUCCUGUUUUCAUUUAUUCAGUGCCUGUGUUGUUGCUGUUGAGUUCUGGAAAGCCAUCUGUGCCGUUACUGGAGUGAGAGAAGACAUCAAUAUGAUUUCUAUCUCCUCAUACUGGCUCAGGGGGGACAUGUUUGCUGCGAUCAACACUGUCCAUGCGGCUGGAUUGUGGGCGAUCUGGAAAACUCGCAACAACAUGGUUUUCAAUAAUGUUGGUUGGCCUGGUUUGCAGGCUAUCCGGAGGAGAACGGCGUCAAAUCUAUCUACGUGGGAGUGCCUCUCCUCAGGAUGUGCCAGGGACAAGCUGGUGUGGGCUACGAAAGAGUUGGAGAAGAAAGUGAGAAGCCCUCCUCUGUUGCUGUGGCCAGAUCCUGGCUGAGGUGUGGAGACACCUUUUAGCCCUGGUCUUUGGCAGUGAGCCUGUAGUAUCACCGUCUACCUUCGCAGAGCAGUAGCUGCUGUUUGCUAUUUCCUUUUCUAGCUUUUAGUUAUGUUCUGGCUUUGUAGUAGCGUUGUGACGCUUUCGUUUUACUGCGGCAGCGUGCCUGCUGUCCGUCAUGAGCUACCUGAUGUAAUAUACUCUUGAUCUUUUGUUUCAUUUCUACAUGAAAUGGAACAGGGGCGUAGCCCUUUUCUUCUAAAAAAUAUAUUUAGGAACGGAGGGAGUAAUAACUAGCUAGUAAAUACCUUGAAAAAAUAACUAGCUUCUUUUUUUCUUUUUCUUUUUUUGGAGGGGAAGCACACAUCUUCUGAUUCAUCAUCAUGACAAAAAUAACCUCCCCGCCCCUUUUCCACUCCCUCGCUUCUAGCCGUCGUAGGGCCUUGCUUGUUUCCUCUCCGCGCCAGGUUGCUCUCACUGCCGUAGGACGGCUGGUCAGACGGAGGCACGCCGGCAACAUGCCCGUCUCACCGGCGUCCUCGUCAACAUAUGGGCCAUCUUUCAUCUUGCAUCUCAUAUGCACGGUCACCAUGGACACUAGAGUAUGACGCCCGUCCACAUAUGAGAUCAAUGUAACUUAUUCACAUUUGUUUCACUACCAAAAAAAAA